rnacentral:tRNA from 1 species
GCGAGCAUGGUCUAGUGGCUAUGACGUCUGCCUAACACGCAGAAGAUCCCGGGUUCGAUCCCCGGUGCCCGUA